rnacentral:lncRNA from 1 species
GUGCAUAUCCAUGCAUAGUGCACAUGAGGCUCUUAUCAUCCCGCUAAAUAAUUGUAUAUAUGCCUUAUGUAGUAAUUACUGUCUAUAAUGCUCCUAUAUAACUAUGUAUAAUAGUGCUUUUGUAUACAUAUCUAUGUCAAUAGUGUGCACAGGGCUCUUGCUACCAAUCUAAACAACUGUGCUAUCUAUGCAUAAGAGCCUUAUAUUACUAUGUAUAAUUCUAUGCAUCUAAGUCCACACA